AUUGAACGCUGGCGGCAUGCCCUACACAUGCAAGUCGAACGGUAACAGGCCGCAAGGUGCUGACGAGUGGCGAACGGGUGAGUAAUGCACCGGAACGUGCCCAGUCGUGGGGGAUAACUACUCGAAAGAGCAGCUAAUACCGCAUACGAUCUAUGGAUGAAAGCGUGGGACCGUAAGGCCUCGCGCGAUUGGAGCGGACGAUGUCAGAUUAGGUAGUUGGUGGGGUAAAGGCGCACCAAGCCAACGAUCUGUAGCUGGUCUGAGAGGACGACCAGCCACACUGGGACUGAGACACGGCCCAGACUCCUACGGGAGGCAGCAGUGGGGAAUUUUGGACAAUGGGGGGAAGCCUGAUCCAGCAAUGCCGCGUGCAGGAAGAAGGCCUUCGGGUUGUAAACUGCUUUUGUACGGAGCGAAACGGCUCUGGUUAAUACCCGGGGAUAAUGACGGUACCGGAAGAAUAAGCACCGGCUAACUACGUG
rnacentral:rRNA from 1 species